GCAAUGAUAGCUUAAAACGAAAGCAUUGGUCUUGUAAGCCAAAGAUGAACCCCAAUAUUCUCAUUGCU
rnacentral:tRNA from 1 species